rnacentral:lncRNA from 1 species
GAGUAAAUCCAAUGUUACCAUGGCUUUCCAUGAGUUGAUUGUGAAGAUCUAAAUUUGCUCAAGAAUCUGCUGUUAUGGAUAGCGAGUCGAAGAACUGCAUCACUCGACCAGCAUUGCUCUAAGCCACAAGCCUUUAUGAGAUUCUUGGCCAGGGUAAUAGAAGGUGGAUUGAACAAAUUUGUUACUUGCACAUCAAGUUUCCUAUUCUCUGCAUCCUUUGACCUCCAUUGUUCCAGGCCAUGAAAUUUCUGUUUCUCCUUGAAGGCGAAAAACAACUUUGCCGCGAUUUGC